rnacentral:rRNA from 1 species
AACGAACGCUGGCGGCAUGCCUAACACAUGCAAGUCGAACGAUACCUUCUGGUCCAGUUGCCCACUGGUUCGUAACGCGUGGGAACCGUCCCUUGUGGUCGGUCUAACUCCCCGAAAGGGGUGCCAAUACCGUAUAAUUUCUUCUGACCAAUGAUUUAUCUACUUUGGAUGUGCGCGCGUGGUAUUAGCUAGUUGGUAGGGUAAAGGCCUACCAAGGUGAAGUUCCAUAGCUGGUCUGAGUGGAUGACCAGCCAUACUGGGACUGGGACACGGACCAGACUUGUGAGGGAGGAAGCAGUGGGGAACAUGCGACAAUGGGUGAUAGAAGGAUGUAGCAAUGCCGCAAGAGUCAGGAAGGAGGUAGGGUUGUAAAGGUGAUUUAAACGCGAAGAUAAUGACAGUACCGGGCCAAAAAGCGCCGGCUAACUACGUG